rnacentral:rRNA from 1 species
GACGAACGCUGGCGGCGUGCUUAACACAUGCAAGUCGAACGGAAGGGCCCUGCUUUUGUGGGGUGCUCGAGUGGCGAACGGGUGAGUAACACGUGAGUAACCUGCCCUUGACUUUGGGAUAACUUCAGGAAACUGGGGCUAAUACCGGAUAGGAGCUCCUGCUGCAUGGUGGGGGUUGGAAAGUUUCGGCGGUUGGGGAUGGACUCGCGGCUUAUCAGCUUGUUGGUGGGGUAGUGGCUUACCAAGGCUUUGACGGGUAGCCGGCCUGGGAGGGUGACCGGCCACAGUGGGACUGAGGUACGGCCCAGACUGCUACGGGAGGCAGCAGUGGGGAAUAUUGCACAAUGGGCGGAAGCCUGAUGCAGCAACGCCGCGUGCGGGAUGACGGCCUUCGGGUUGUAAACCGCUUUCGCCUGUGACGAAGCGUGAGUGACGGUAAUGGGUAAAGAAGCACCGGCUAACUACGU